ensembl:lncRNA
ACAGGCAUGAAAACUGAGAAUUAGGUAGACUGGACAUUGCUGCCGCUCACGGUGAAAGAAUUUCGUCAAUAGGACCUGUACUUUUCAUUUGGGAGCGAUUUGUUUCGACCUGACUUUUCUGUUCAUUUUAAGCAGCAAAAGUGAGGUGCAUGUCUGUGCGUGUGUAUGGAGCCAUUGGGUGCAGUCACUAUAGCAACCAGGCUCACACCUGCCUGCCUAACGAGCUCUCUCUCACUCUGCCAAGAUUCAUCUUAAACACUUCUCUUUCAACCACUGCUGUGUCCACAGUGUUUGCUCUACAGCCAUCAUUUUACCCUCAAAACGAAGCCAUCGUUGUUCUCUUUCCAACAGCAUGUCUUUCAAAGCUCAGAAAUGUAAACCUUUAAAAGUGUGUGGAUCCAAGUGGAGGGAUUACAGUUUAGUCAUUCAGUGAUUCAAAGAAUAUGAACUUUUAAUAUUCAUUCAGAUGUUUUCUGACUCUAAAUUUUCUUUUCUCAUUUCUUAGGUUUUUCUAAUUUUAAUUUAAAAACUUUUCAGCUAUUUUCCAACUUCUUCUGUGUGGUUGUCAGCUUUCAAAAGUUCUGCACUUUUGUUUUUAGGUUAAAAACUCUGUAUUUUCCAGCUCAUUCAACAUUUUUAACUUAAAAUUCAGCAAUUAAUUCUUUUCAAUGUAUACAUUCAGAUUCAAGCAUUCACACUGCAGUUUCUUCAGAAAAUGCACUUUCUAGUUAU